UAAUAUUUUCCCUCUAAAAAAACAACAGAUUAUAAUAGUAAUGAUGAUAUUAGCUCAUAUUUUUAAGCUAUCUUGUUAUGUCAUGACAAACCUUUGGGUUAACAGGACUGUUUAGAAUUACUAUUUCUAUUUUAUAGUUGAGGAGACCAGUGAAGAGAGGUCCAGUGGCUUGAUGAGACCCUGUUAGUUUAAUGGUGGAGCCAGAACUUUCCCUCUUGCCUUUCUUCUGACUCCAGCCAAGUCCAACUCACCCUAAUGACUCAGCUGAAGCAUCGGUGCUCAGGAACAAUAUGAGACACCAGGAGCUGUGCUCAGCGGCAGAUCUGCUUUUCCAAAACAGAGCUCACUUUUGGAGUGGAAAGAGCGAUUUCACUUUUCCCAGGUUGAGAGAUGGCUUCUGUUUUUGCUACAGCUCGUGAGCCAGCAGUGCCGUCCUUACAAGAAAAGACGAGCUGCUGGUAUCUCAUGAAAAAGACAACUAUAAACUCUGUCAGUAAAACAGUGCCUUGUAUUUCCAAAAUAGCGUUCCGACCCUCCCGGCGCAAGGGAGCUCACAGAAGAUCCUGAGAAAGAGCUUGCCCACAUGAGAGACGUCGGCGUGUGCCAGCCCUCCAUCGAAGAAGGAGCAGGUUCAGGACCUGGCACUGUGCAGCUGAGUGGCACUGCUCCCAGAACUCUCAUCCAAUAAAGAGCCAUUGUGGGAUCUGGACCCUUCAACAUACAGGACAAAUGACUCAAAUGAAAAGCACAAUGCACAAUUAAGCAAAAUGAUGGAUUUGAGGCACACAAACUCCUCUCCCUGGAGAUUCAUCAUACGGAACCGAGACGAUGUAGCCAGCAACA